UGAGGAAUAUUGGUACAAUGGAGGGCAAGUCUGACCCAGCCAUGCCGCGUGCAGGAAGACGGCCCUAUGGGUUGUAAACUGCUUUUGUCCGGGAAGAAACCCCCCUACGUGUACGGGUGUUGACGGUACCGUAAGAAUAAGCACCGGCUAACUCCGUGCCAGCA
rnacentral:rRNA from 1 species